rnacentral:rRNA from 1 species
UGGGGAAUAUUGCACAAUGGGCGCAAGCCUGAUGCAGCCAUGCCGCGUGUGUGAAGAAGGCCUUCGGGUUGUAAAGCACUUUCAGCGGGGAGGAAGGCGAUAAGGUUAAUAACCUCAUCGAUUGACGUUACCCGCAGAAGAAGCACCGGCUAACUCCGUGCCAGCAGCCGCGGUAAUACGGAGGGUGCAAGCGUUAAUCGGAAUUACUGGGAGUAAAGCGCACGCAGGCGGUCUGUCAAGUCGGAUGUGAAAUCCCCGGGCUCAACCUGGGAACUGCAUUCGAAGCUGGCAGGCUAGAGGCUUGUAGAGGGGGGUAGAAUUCCAGGUGUAGCGGUGAAAUGCGUAGAGAUCUGGAGGAAUACCGGUGGCGAAGGCGGCCCCCUGGACAAAGACUGACGCUCAGGUGCGAAAGCGUGGGGAGCAAACAGG